rnacentral:rRNA from 1 species
AAGCUGGCCCCUCCGGGGCCCGCGUUGUAAUUUGCAGAGGAUGCUUUGGGUGCGGCCCCCGUCUAAGUGCCCUGGAACGGGCCGUCAGAGAGGGUGAGAAUCCCGUCUUGGGCGGGGUGUCCGUGCCCGUGUAAAGCUCCUUCGACGAGUCGAGUUGUUUGGGAAUGCAGCUCUAAAUGGGUGGUAAAUUUCAUCUAAAGCUAAAUACUGGCCGGAGACCGAUAGCGCACAAGUAGAGUGAUCGAAAGAUGAAAAGCACUUUGAAAAGAGAGUUAAACAGCACGUGAAAUUGUUGAAAGGGAAGCGCUUGCGACCAGACUCGCCCUCGGGGUUCAGCCGGCACUCGUGCCGGUGUACUUCCCCGGGGGCGGGCCAGCGUCAGCUUGGGCGGCCGGUCAAAGGCCUCCGGAAUGUAGUGCCCCCCGGGGCACCUUAUAGCCGGAGGUGCAAUGCGGCCAGCCUGGGCUGAGGAACGCGCUUCGGCACGGACGCUGGCAUAAUGGUCGCAAACGACCCGUCU